GACGAACGCUGGCGGCGUGCCUAAUACAUGCAAGUCGAACGCAGUGGGGACAGGUGAGUAACACGUGGGUAAUCUCCCAUCACAGGGGAUAACACUUGGAAACAGAUGCCAACCCGAAACAGAUGGAUGGACCUGCGGUGCAUUAGCUAGUUGGUGGGGUAACGGCGCACCAGGGCUACGAUGCAUAGCCGACCUGAGAGGGUGAUCGGCCACACUGGGACUGAGACACGGCCCAGACUCCUACGGGAGGCAGCAGUGGGGAAUCUUCGGCAAUGGACGAAAGUCUGACCGAGCAACGCCGCGUGGGUGAAGAAGGUUUUCGGAUCGUAAAACUCUGUUGUUAGAGAAGCGGUAUCUAACCAGAAAGCCACGGCUAACUACGUGCCAGCAGCCGCGGUAAUAC
rnacentral:rRNA from 1 species